rnacentral:rRNA from 1 species
ACGGGAGGCAGCAGUGGGGAAUAUUGCGCAAUGGGGGAAACCCUGACGCAGCGACGCCGCGUGAGUGAAGAAGUAUUUCGGUAUGUAAAGCUCUAUCAGCAGGGAAGAAAAUGACGGUACCUGACUAAGAAGCCCCGGCUAACUACGUGCCAGCAGCCGCGGUAAUACGUAGGGGGCAAGCGUUAUCCGGAUUUACUGGGUGUAAAGGGAGCGUAGACGGUGAAGCAAGUCUGAAGUGAAAGGCAGGGGCUCAACCCCUGGACUGCUUUGGAAACUGUUUUACUAGAGUGCAGGAGAGGUAAGCGGAAUUCCUAGUGUAGCGGUGAAAUGCGUAGAUAUUAGGAGGAACACCAGUGGCGAAGGCGGCUUACUGGACUGUAACUGACGUUGAGGCUCGAAAGCGUGGGGAGCAAACAGGAUUAGAUACCCUGGUA